AAUAAGUGUAGUUUUACACUAUUCACAUUCAACGUUUGACCAUUCAUCUUAUUUAAAAAUUUUGUAUUAGAUAAUAAAAUAUGAAUAGUACUUUAUGUGUGGCUAUUUUUUUUAAUUAUUUCAUAAAUUUUUCAAAUAAGAAGGACGGUCAAACGUUGGACACGGAUAUCCACGGUUGUACUUAUU
rnacentral:pre_miRNA from 1 species